rnacentral:rRNA from 1 species
GACGAACGCUGGCGGCGUGCCUAACACAUGCAAGUCGAGGGGUAGCAAGAUUGUAGCAAUACAAUUGUUGACGACCGGCAAACGGGUGCGGAACACGUACACAACCUUCCUACAAGUGGGGAAUAGCCCAGAGAAAUUUGGAUUAAUACCCCGUAACAUAGCGAUGUGGCAUCACAUUGCUAUUAUAGCUUCGGCGCUUGUUGAUGGGUGUGCGGCUGAUUAGAUAGUUGGCGGGGUAACGGCCCACCAAGUCUACGAUCAGUAGCUGAUGUGAGAGCAUGAUCAGCCAAACGGGCACUGAGACACGGGCCCGAUUCCUACGGGAGGCAGCAGUAAGGAAUAUUGGACAAUGGACGCAAGUCUGAUCCAGCCAUGCCGCGUGAAGGAUUAAGGUCCUCUGGAUUGUAAACUUCUUUUAUAAGGGACGAAAAAAGGUCUUUCUAGAUCGUCUGACGGUACCUUAUGAAUAAGCACCGGCUAACUCCGUGCCAGCCGCCGCGGUAAAAC